rnacentral:piRNA from 1 species
UUGGAAGCCCAGGUUCUGCCAUGUGA